GCCUUUGUGGCGUAACUCGAAUACGUCCGACUCGUAAUCGGAAAGUCUGAAGUUCGAAUCCUGGCGAGGGCA
rnacentral:tRNA from 1 species